rnacentral:miRNA from 1 species
UCCAGGGAGACAGUGUGUGAG